UACAGAGGUCUCAAGCGUUGUUCGGAUUCAUUGGGCGUAAAGGGCGCGUAGGCGGCCUUCUAAGUCGAACGUGAAAUCCCCGGGCUCAACCCGGGAACUGCGUCCGAUACUGGAAGGCUUGAGUCCGGGAGAGGGGGGUGGAAUUCCCAGUGUAGCGGUGAAAUGCGUAGAUAUUGGGAGGAACACCGGUGGCGAAGGCGGCCCCCUGGACCGGUACUGACGCUGAGGCGCGAAAGCGUGGGUAGCAAACGGG
rnacentral:rRNA from 1 species